GGCCACGUUUAUUUCAAGUCCCACACUGAGGUGAAAAACACACACAGAGGCAGCAGGACUUCUUCAGUAACAGUUUACUGAGCUUUCAAAGUGUACAGUUCUCACUGGGUCCCCAGUGAGGCACAAAACUUAGCUCCUGAGAGCAAAUCCAGUUUCAGCAGUAAAGUCAUACAGCAUACAGGAUAUCUAAGCCAGGCACACACACCGGCAGAAGGGAGCAAGGGAGGAAAGAGGCUGGAAGGACACAGGGCAAUGGAUGUGUGUGUUUCACUUCCUGUCGUCUUGGAGGGAAGUCAGCAACUCAGCAUCUGCAGGGGCUUCAUGAAGAAAAGCUUUCUGCCGCUGCUUGCAGGCACAUCACAGAAACACACACUGCAAUUCGCAGUGUAUUGCCAUAUCAGUUGUUCUUCAAAGGGUAUCGAGAUGUGGUCUAGAAACCAGUAUUGUACCAGAUAUCAAUAUAUCGCCCAGCCCUAAUCCUCACUCACCACCAGCAAACCAGAUUCAUCCUCUCUAUCGAAAGGUACUUUACCACUUAGAUUAUACUCACAUUGUUUGACAUUGCCUUCAAUAUUUCAUUGCUGUUCAGUUUUACAUAUAAACACAAGAACUUCAAAUACACAUCGUGUGUUUAAGACUGAUUUCCUGCUGAGUUCAUUGCUGUGAAGAAAGAGUGGACACUGAAAGGAAAAUGUCCCGCACUCCAUACAUCUAAAUGGGUUCUUCCAUGGGAAAGUCCCUGGAUGUUCCUUAAACACUCCAUUGUAAAUAAAGCACUUUU